AGUUGUCAUAGGUGCAAUAUAUUCCGACCCAAAAAAAUAGUCACCUCAGGCGAGUUUUUACCCGACUCAAAUUUUUGGGUCAACUAAGCGAGGUCUAUGACGAUCCAUAAUGGAUUGGCCUAGACAUCUCAAAGCCAACUCAUCUUUUUGGGCCACCUUAGAUUGGACUUUCGGCGCCAAAACGAAAAUUUCAAAACUUAGAAUUUGAGAAUUUUAAUUUGAAAGUAAUAUGGAGGUAGCAGCAAGAAGCAACAGGUCGCAGCAGACCAUCAAGAACAUGAUCGAGGACGAUUGAGCGAACAUCAUCAUCCCCCUCCCAUAUGUCUCAGGCAAGAUACUCCCCAAAGUUAUCAAGUACUGCAAUAAGUGCGUCGAGUCCGCACUACCGCCAACACCGAGGGCGACAAGACUGCUGAACUUCUCUCUCUAUAUAUCGCCAGAGCUUCACAAUUUCAUGACUCUUAUGCUGAUUUUUCAUGUACCAUGUGGAAAUGAUUUGCAGAGUGAUGACUCACCAAGCAAGGAAGAUUAUCCAUCUGAUAGUGCUGAGCAAGCCCUCUAACAUUCUCGGAUUAUUCAAUCACAAUAAUGUUAACAAAUACUCGAUUCAUCCAUUUGUUACUUACUGUAGGGAAAAAGAGUUGUGAAAAGUGUUGAUCAUGAAGCCACAAGUGAAGUGAAGAAAGUGGAUGUUACUCACAUUUGUGAGAGGCUUAAUGGUGGAUGCACAAUGAUGUUAUUCAUGCAUGAGUAGAAGUGAACUUUAUUAUUGUUGAAUUGAAUUUUUAUUGUAUGUGUAUACAUUGACCUUGUUGGCUCUUGUUAGAAUUCAUAAAUUAUUAUGUAAUACUGCAUUGAUCAUAAUUGGAUAAGAGUUGUUAAGUUGAUUCAUGUAUAAUUAUAUU